rnacentral:rRNA from 1 species
UACGGGGGGGGCAAGCGUUGUUCGGAAUUACUGGGCGUAAAGGGCUCGUAGGCGGCCAACUAAGUCAGACGUGAAAUCCCUCGGCUUAAUCGGGGAACUGCAUCUGAUACUGGAUGGCUUGAGUUCGGGAGAGGGAUGCGGAAUUCCAGGUGUAGCGGUGAAAUGCGUAGAUAUCUGGAGGAACACCGGUGGCGAAGGCGGCAUCCUGGACCGAGAUUGACGCUGAGGCGCGAAAGCCAGGGGAGCAAACGGG